CCUACGGGUGGCUGCAGUGGGGAAUAUUGGACAAUGGGCGAAAGCCUGAUCCAGCCAUGCCGCGUGUGUGAAGAAGGCCUUCGGGUUGUAAAGCACUUUCAGUGGGGAAGAAAGCCUUGGGGCUAAUACCCUCGAGGAAGGACAUCACCCACAGAAGAAGCACCGGCUAACUCCGUGCCAGCAGCCGCGGUAAUACGGAGGGUGCGAGCGUUUAUCGGAAUUACUGGGCGUAAAGCGCGCGUAGGCGGUCUGAUAAGCCGGUUGUGAAAGCCCCGGGCUCAACCUGGGAACGGCAUCCGGAACUGUCAGGCUAGAGUGCAGGAGAGGAAGGUAGAAUUCCCGGUGUAGCGGUGAAAUGCGUAGAGAUCGGGAGGAAUACCAGUGGCGAAGGCGGCCUUCUGGACUGACACUGACGCUGAGGUGCGAAAGCGUGGGUAGCAAACAGGAUUAGAUACCCGUGUAGUC
rnacentral:rRNA from 1 species